rnacentral:rRNA from 1 species
GACGAACGCUGGCGGCGUGCCUAAUACAUGCAAGUCGAACGCUUCUUUCCUCCCGAGUGCUUGCACUCAAUUGGAAAGAGGAGUGGCGGACGGGUGAGGAACACGUGGGUAACCUACCCAUCAGAGGGGGAUAACACUUGGAAACAGGUGCUAAUACCGAAUAAAAGUUUAUGCCGCAUGGCAUAAGAGUGAAAGGCGCUUUCGGGUGUCGCUGAUGGAUGGACCCGCGGUGCAUUAGCUAGUUGGUGAGGUAACGGCUCACCAAGGCCACGAUGCAUAGCCGACCUAAGAGGGUGAUCGGCCACACUGGGACUGAGACACGGCCCAGACUCCUACGGGAGGCAGCAGUAGGGAAUCUUCGGCAAUGGACGAAAGUCUGACCGAGCAACGCCGCGUGAGUGAAGAAGGUUUUCGGAUCGUAAAACUCUGUUGUUAGAGAAGAACAAGGACGUUAGUAACUGAACGUCCCCUGACGGUAUCUAACCAGAAAGCCACGGCUAACUACGU